rnacentral:lncRNA from 1 species
GGGAGGAGGAGCCCGGAUCGGCGCGGACCCCGAAGGGGCCGGGCGCCGGGGGAGUCACCGGGCUGCAGGCUCUAAGCUGCGCGCCGAACGCUCUCCCACCCGCGAUCGCGCCAAACUCGGCGCUUCCCAGGCAAGGAGCGAGAUAGCCUUCCAUUAACACCAGCGAAUAAGACAGAGGGCAGAAAACGCCAGAAGCAGUUAAAAGCACUUGCUGCUCUGCAGAGGACCAGGCUCCUGUCAGGUUCCCCACAUGGUCGCUUUCAACAGUCUGUAACUCCAGUUCCAGGAGCACCAGGCACAAACAUGGUGUACACGUGCAGAUCCAAUCUUCUAGCAUCCAUCCUGAGAUACAAUGUGAGUCCCCUCCUCCAGAGACAAGCAAUGAAGCUAGGAUCUAGAUUUCUUCACGAUUGGUCUGUACCAACAUUGGCUGGGUAUUGUAUUUCUUUUCUGCAAUUUGUUGGUGGGUAUAACUGAUAGCAUUGUGUAUAAUUUAGGUAUACAAUGUAGUGAUUUGAUAUAAGUGUAUAAUGUAAAGUGGUUACAACAACGAAGUAAAUUACUAUGUUAUCAUUUCAUAGCAUUACUAUUAUUUGUGUGUUGUAUGUUGAAAAUACAUGUAUAUUUUUAAAAGACGAUUUAUUACUUUAUUAUUUGUUUAUUUGUUUACUUGUUUAUUUAUUGGUUCUUUUGUUUUGUUUUGAGACAAGGUUUCUCUGUGUAGCCCUGAUUGUCCUGGAACUCUUUGCUUUGUAGAUCAAGUUGACCUUGAACUCAGAGAUCUGCCUUGCCUCUGCCUGCUUUUUCAAUGCUGGAAUUUAAAGGUGUGUGACACCAGGCCUGAUUAUUAUUUUAUUUUUUUGAUCGAGUUGUCUGUGUGUGCAUGUUAAUGUAUGUGCUCUCAGAGGCCAGAAAAGGGCAUCAGAUCCCUUAGAGCUAGUUGUGAGCUCCUUGAUGUGGGUGCUGGGAACAGAACUUGGGUCUUCUGUAGGCGCAGUAAGUGCUCUAAGCUGUGGAGCCAUCUCUCUGGCCCCCACUUACGAUUUCUUUCUAGGCCUUUCAAAUAUGCAGUACAGUAUUACUCACUAUAGGCAUCAAGCUGAACACCAGACACCUAGAACAUACUUCUUUAUAAGUGAAAAGAUUUGGCCUUUGACCAACACCUUCAUUUCUGUGAGUGCCUGGCAACCGGGUAACUGCCAUUCUGCUCUCUGUUUCUAUGAACUUGACCUUUGUGCACAUGUGAACUCAUAUUGAUUUUUCUCUCUGUGUCUGGCUUAUUUCAUUUAGCAUAUUGUUCCCCAGUGUCUUCUACAUUGUCACAAAUGGUGGGAUUUCUUUCUUUUUUUUUUUAUGACUAACAUUAUUCUACUUUUCUCUAUAUACCCCAUGGUAUCUAGUACUACAAUGGACACGCCUCUUCAGUAGUCUUGUUACAUAUAUGUCCAGAAGUGGGGUUGUUGGAUCAUAUGUCGUUCUAAUUUUAAUUUUAAAAAAUAAUUAUUAAUAUUUUCAUAGAUGAAUACACUGACUAAUGUUCAAAUUCAAGUAAAACAUCUAUUCCUUC